UCCGGCACUCUCCGCCUCGGCCCCGCCGGCCAGCCCAAGACUAUCAAAACCACUCAACUCCGCUCCAGCCCUCGCCGCUCUUCCCUCUACUUCGUCGACCUGGUCGGUAUCCGCGUCGGCCGCAAGGUGGUCGACAUCCCACCGGCGGCGAUCGCCUUCGACGCGGCCACCGGCGCGGGGACCAUCUUCGACUCGGGCACCAUGUUCACCCGCCUGGUGGCGCCGGCGUACGCGGCGCUGCGGGACGAGUUCCGGCGCCAGGUGCGGGGCGCCGGCAACGCG
rnacentral:lncRNA from 1 species